rnacentral:rRNA from 1 species
GACGAACGCUGGCGGCGUGCUUAACACAUGCAAGUCGAACGGAAAGGCCCUGCUUUUGUGGGGUGCUCGAGUGGCGAACGGGUGAGUAACACGUGAGUAACCUGCCCUUGACUUUGGGAUAACUUCAGGAAACUGGGGCUCAUACCGGAUAGGAGCUCCUGCUGCAUGGUGGGGGUUGGAACGUUUCGGCGGUUGGGGAUGGACUCGCGGCUUAUCAGCUUGUUGGUGGGGUAGUGGCUUACCAAGGCUUUGACGGGUAGCCGGCCUGAGAGGGUGACCGGCCACAUUGGGACUGAGAUACGGCCCAGACUCCUACGGGAGGCAGCAGUGGGGAAUAUUGCACAAUGGGCGGAAGCCUGAUGCAGCAACGCCGCGUGCGGGAUGACGGCCUUCGGGUUGUAAACCGCUUUCGCCUGUGACGAAGCGUGAGUGACGGUAAUGGGUAAAGAAGCACCGGCUAACUACGUG